GGAUAACUGACCAGAAGGUGAGAUCAGUUGGAGGGAUAACUUACCAGAAGAUGAGAUCAGUUGGAGGGAUAACUUACCAGAAGAUGAGAUCAGUUGGAGGGAUAACUUACCAGAAGAUGAGAUCAGUUGGAGGGAUAACUUACCAGAAGAUGAGAUCAGUUGGAGGGAUAACUUACCAGAAGAUGAGAUCAGUUGGAGGGAUAACUUACCAGAAGAUGAGAUCAGUUGGAGGGAUAACUUACCAGAAGAUGAGAUCAGUUGGAGGGAUAACUUACCAGAAGAUGAGAUCAGUUGGAGGGAUAACUUACCAGAAGAUGAGAUCAGUUGGAGGGAUAACUUACCAGAAGAUGAGAUCAGUUGGAGGGAUAACUUACCAGAAGAUGAGAUCAGUUGGAGGGAUAACUUACCAGAAUAUGAGAUCAGUUGGAGGGAUAACUUACCAGAAGGUGAGAUCAGUCUGAGGGAUAACUUACCAGAAGGUGAG